rnacentral:rRNA from 1 species
GAGUAUGGCCAUACCACCCUGAACGCGGCUGACCUUGUCUGAUCUCAGAAGCUAAGCAGUGUCGGGCCUGGUUAGUACUUGCAUGGGAGGAAUAGAUCUUGAAUUUU